CUUCGGAAUCUUGAGAGCGGCGUACGGGUGCGGAACACGUGUGCAACCUGCCUUUAUCAGGGAGAUAGCCUUUCGAAAGGAAGAUUAAUAUCCCAUAAUAUUUUGACUGGCAUCAGUUGAAAUUGAAAGCUCCGGCGGAUAGAGAUGGGCACGCGCAAGAUUAGAUAGUUGGCGGGGUAACGGCCCACCAAGUCAAUGAUCUUUAGGGGGCCUGAGAGGGUGAUCCCCCACACUGGUACUGAGACACGGACCAGACUCCUACGGGAGGCAGCAGUGAGGAAUAUUGGACAAUGGGUGAGAGCCUGAUCCAGCCAUCCCGCGUGAAGGACGACGGCCCUAUGGGUUGUAAACUUCUUUUGUAUAGGGAUAAACCUACCCUCGUGAGGGUAGCUGAAGGUACUAUACGAAUAAGCACCGGCUAACUCCGUGCCAGCAGCCGCGGUAAUACGGAGGGUGCAAGCGUUAUCCGGAUUUAUUGGGUUUAAAGGGUCCGUAGGCGGACUCGUAAGUCAGUGGUGAAAUCUCAUAGCUUAACUAUGAAACUGCCAUUGAUACUGCGGGUCUUGAGUAAGGUAGAGGUAGCUGGAAUAAGUAGUGUAGCGGUGAAAUGCAUAGAUAUUACUUAGAACACCAAUUGCGAAGGCAGGUUACCAUGUCUUAACUGACGCUGAUGGACGAAAGCGUGGGGAGCGAACAGGAUUAGAUACCCUGGUAGUCCACGCCGUAAACGAUGCUAACUCGUUUUUGGGCUUUCGGGUUCAGAGACUAAGCGAAAGUGAUAAGUUAGCCACCUGGGGAGUACGUUCGCAAGAAUGAAACUCAAAGGAAUUGACGGGGGCCCGCACAAGCGGUGGAUUAUGUGGUUUAAUUCGAUGAUACGCGAGGAACCUUACCAAGGCUUAAAUGGGAAUUGACAGGUUUAGAAAUAGACUUUUCUUCGGACAAUUUUCAAGGUGCUGCAUGGUUGUCGUCAGCUCGUGCCGUGAGGUGUUAGGUUAAGUCCU
rnacentral:rRNA from 1 species